AAGCAAGCCUUCCAGCGUGGCCAGGCCUGCUCCGUGGCCUUGUCCAUUCCUGUAGCGCUUGCUAGAGCAGACGCCAGAUGGUUUGAGGCCUUGCUCUGCCCUGACUUCGGAGUGAGGUUAUAGAAAUCUUGGACAAGC